GUGGGGAAUCUUGCGCAAUGGGCGAAAGCCUGACGCAGCCAUGCCGCGUGAAUGAUGAAGGUCUUAGGAUUGUAAAAUUCUUUCACCGGGGACGAUAAUGACGGUACCCGGAGAAGAAGCUCCGGCUAACUUCGUGCCAGCAGCCGCGGUAAUACGAAGGGGGCUAGCGUUGCUCGGAAUUACUGGGCGUAAAGGGCGCGUAGGCGGACAGCUUAGUCAGAGGUGAAAGCCCAGGGCUCAACCUUGGAAUUGCCUUUGAUACUGGCUGUCUUGAGUUUGGGAGAGGUGAGUGGAACUCCGGGUGUAGAGGUGAAAUUCGUAGAUAUUCGGAAGAACACCAGUGGCGAAGGCGACUCACUGGCCCAAUACUGACGCUGAGGCGCGAAAGCGUGGGGAGCAAACAGGAUUAGAUACCCUGGUAGUCC
rnacentral:rRNA from 1 species